rnacentral:tRNA from 1 species
GAGGGUUUAGCUCAGUAGUACAGCACCUGCCUGGCAAGCAUGAGAUCCUGAGUUUGAUUCCCAGUACCCCCC